AGGAAAAUUGGAUUACAUGUAAGUUUAAUGGCUUUUUUAAGGCUACCAUUAUGGACUAAAAACAAAUAUAUGCAAAACCUGUUUAAGAUUUUCCAGAAAAGUGCCACUGCCUUGAGUCCUGGGUUCUGUUCUGUGAAUAGUGACAGCUGUUUUGUGUGUAAAUGUGGUGUUGUGUUUUAUUGACUGUGUGUCUGAUUGCCAAGUGUUGUGUGCAUGUAGUGCCUGUGUGUGACAACUGGGUAUUUUGUGUGUGGGAGAGAGUGUUACAUGUGUAUUGGUGCUGAGUGUGUGUGGGAGACUGUGUUAUGUCU